GACGAACGCUGGCGGCGUGCUUAACACAUGCAAGUCGAACGGAAAGGCCCUGCUUGCAGGGUGCUCGAGUGGCGAACGGGUGAGUAACACGUGGGUGAUCUGCCCCUUACUUUGGGAGAAGCCUGGGAAACUGGGUCUAAUACGGGAUAGGACCAUGCUGUAGGUGGGGUGGUGGAAAGAACAGUUUCGGUAAGGGAUGAGCUCGCGGCCUAUCAGCUUGUUGGUGGGGUAAUGGCCUACCAAGGCGUCGACGGGUAGCCGGCCUGAGAGGGUGGACGGCCGCCUUGGGACUGCGAUACGGCCCCGACUCCUACGCGAGGCAGCAGUGGGGGAUAUUGCACCAUGAGCGCACGCCUGCUGCAGCGACGCCGCGUGGGGGCUGACGGCCUUCGGGUUGUAAACUCCUUUCGGCCAUGACGAAGCCCUUGUGGUGACGGUAGUGGUAGAAGAAGCACCGGCUAACUACGUG
rnacentral:rRNA from 1 species